UACGAAGGGGGGCUAGCGUUGUUCGGAAUCACUGGGCGUAAAGCGCGCGUAGGCGGGUCGUUAAGUCGGGGGUGAAAUCCCGAGGCUCAACCUCGGAACUGCCUUCGAUACUGACGACCUUGAGUCCGGGAGAGGUGAGUGGAACUCCUAGUGUAGAGGUGAAAUUCGUAGAUAUUAGGAAGAACACCAGUGGCGAAGGCGGCUCACUGGCCCGGUACUGACGCUGAUGUGCGAAAGCGUGGGGAGCAAACAGG
rnacentral:rRNA from 1 species